AAAAGUUGAGGUUGGAUAUUGAAAUUAGGGCUUUCUCACCAAAAAGAGUAGUGCAUCACUCAUCUUUUUCCUCUCCUUCAAACACAACUCGCUUAAAUGUCUCUCUGAACACCAGCAGCUCCAUCCGAAUCCAGCUUACCCUUAACGCUUGCCACCAUCUCCACCUUUCAUGCUCCGAAAACCCAACUCUCGUACAUCACUAGCUCCACGCCCUUCAUCCUUCCUAUCCAAACUGACCGAAGCCCAGCACUUCUCAAAUAGUGCAUCACCAUACCCAUUUUGUCACAACUCAUAAAACCCACAUAAAACUACAACACCUUCGAAGUCACCCUCACAAAGUUUAAAUCAUCUCCUUCGAUUUUCUAUUUAGUCAUAAUCUCAGUCCCGAGGGCCACAUAGAACUUCACUGUUCUCAGACCCACCUACGAUGCCCCACCUUUGAGUGCUCACUCCUCCAAGGUUUCCUCUGCUCCGCGCAACUCCUCCUCGUGUCUAUUAGGAAAAUGUCUUUUAAGCUUAUGGCUUUACGCAUAAAUUUAUUAAAGAAUAAGAGAUAAGCACAGGUGAAGCAGCUGAAAAGGGAAUUGGCUCAAUUGCUAGAGAUUGGCCAGGACCAAAUUGCGAGAAUUCGGGUUCUCCUAAGAUAUCCAAAGAAUGCUUGUACUAGCUCCUGGCAUGGCACACAGCCAUACCAAAUCAUAUGUGUGAUCAAAGGGAAGGAAGUUUGAGAGAAGGAACAACGGGGGAUUUAGGCUUUGAGUUGUUUUUAGUUUCAAAUUGUGAGGUAGUCAUUUUAUUUAUGACUAUUAUGUCCAAAAUUUCGUUAGACUCUAAGUUCUGGAAUUUGUUUAUGUUAUUUCCCCUUUGGGUUAUCAAUUACCCAUUUGAAUUUUUUAUGUUAUUUUGUUUUUAUAAUAUUUUAUUUUUUCAUAUAGUACAUUAUUAUUAUUAUUAUUA